GGCGGUAGCCUACACAUGCUAGUCGAACGGCAGCACAGGAGAGCUUGCUCUCUGGGUGGCGAGUGGCGGACGGGUGAGGAAUACAUCGGAAUCUACCUUUUCGUGGGGGAUAACGUAGGGAAACUUACGCUAAUACCGCAUAAGACCUUCGGGUGAAAGCCGGGGACCUUCGGGCCUGGCGUGGAUAGAUGAGCCGAUGUCGGAUUAGCUUGUUGGCGGGGUAAAAGCCCACCAAGGCGACGAUCCGUAGCUGGUCUGAGAGGAUGAUCAGCCACACUGGAACUGAGACACGGUCCAGACUCCUACGGGAGGCAGCAGUGGGGAAUAUUGGACAAUGGGCGCAAGCCUGAUCCAGCCAUACCGCGUGGGUGAAGAAGGCCUUCGGGUUGUAAAGCCCUUUUGUUGGGAAAGAAAUCCUGCCGGUUAAUAACCAGUAGGGAUGACGGUACCCAAAGAAUAAGCACCGGCUAACUUCGUGCCAGCAGCCGCGGUAAU
rnacentral:rRNA from 1 species